rnacentral:rRNA from 1 species
GCUUGCUAUCAGGCGUCGAGCGGCGGACGGGUGAGUAAUACUUAGGAAUCUACCUAGUAGUGGGGGAUAGCACGGGGAAACUCGUAUUAAUACCGCAUACGACCUACGGGAGAAAGGGGGCAGUUUACUGCUCUCGCUAUUAGAUGAGCCUAAGUCGGAUUAGCUAGAUGGUGGGGUAAAGGCCUACCAUGGCGACGAUCUGUAGCUGGUCUGAGAGGAUGAUCAGCCACACCGGGACUGAGACACGGCCCGGACUCCUACGGGAGGCAGCAGUGGGGAAUAUUGGACAAUGGGGGAAACCCUGAUCCAGCCAUGCCGCGUGUGUGAAGAAGGCCUUUUGGUUGUAAAGCACUUUAAGCAGUGAAGAAGACUCUUCGGUUAAUACCCGGAGACGAUGACAUUAGCUGCAGAAUAAGCACCGGCUAACUCUGUGCCAGCAGCCGCGGUAAUACAGAGGGUGCAAGCGUUAAUCGGAAUUACUGGGCGUAAAGGGAGCGUAGGUGGCUCUAUAAGUCAGAUGUGAAAUCCCCGGGCUUAACCUGGGAACUGCAUCUGAAACUGUAGAGCUAGAGUAUGUGAGAGGGAGGUAGAAUUUCAGGUGUAGCGGUGAAAUGCGUAGAGAUCUGAAGGAAUACCGAUGGCGAAGGCAGCCUCCUGGCAUAAUACUGACACUGAGGCUCGAAAGCGUGGGUAGCAAACAGGAUUAGAUACCCUGGUAGUCCACGCCGUAAACGAUGUCUACUAGUCGUUGGGUCCCUUGAGGACUUAGUGACGCAGCUAACGCAAUAAGUAGACCGCCUGGGGAGUACGGCCGCAAGGUUAAAACUCAAAUGAAUUGACGGGGGCCCGCACAAGCGGUGGAGCAUGUGGUUUAAUUCGAUGCAACGCGAAGAACCUUACC